GGAAGGUGGGGAGUGACGUCAAGUCCUCAUGGCCCUUAUGGGUAGGGCUUCACACGUCAUACAAUGGUACAUACAGAGGGCCGCCAACCCGCGAGGGGGAGCUAAUCCCAGAAAGUGUAUCGUAGUCCGGAUUGUAGUCUGCAACUCGACUGCAUGAAGUUGGAAUCGCUAGUAAUCGCGGAUCAGCAUGUCGCGGUGAAUACGUUCCCGGGUCUU
rnacentral:rRNA from 1 species